rnacentral:miRNA from 1 species
UCGGGGGAGUUGAUGGGCGUGACCAUCCGUUCGACGGUCAGGAACGCCGCCAGGUUGGCAGUGUACGACGAGAUGAGAAUGAG